UAAAUAAUAUAGACAAAAAAGUAAAUUUUUUUAAAUAAAUAAAAGGAGAGACAACAUAUGGCAGUUCAAUUAACUUCAAUUCUUUGGUGUAUAAAAAUUUAUCUCUUAAUUUUUGGUUAUGAAUAGCCUACAUGAGAGACUCACUAUAUAAAUGAAAAUCAAUUUUAAAAAACCUUCAAACAGGGUUUAUAAUGAUUUAUUUUACUUUUAUGAAUAUGAAAUUUUCCAAAUAAAACCAUAGGAUUCAUCAUAAAAUUGACAGAUGGAUUUUUUGAUUCAAAAUAUGAAGGUACACAUACUUAUACUUGCCACUAUCUGCAAAAUAAACACAAAUCAGCUGCUACUAAAAGUUUAACAGACUAAAAGCUAAGAAGACAGAAUACAUUCUUUGUUCAAAAGCAAUAUAGCCAUAAAUAUACAAAACAAUAUUCAUUAUUUAAAACUGAAACAAAGUAUGGACAAAAUUAAAGCAGAAGUUAAAAGAUACAGACAGUUCAGAUACUUACCUUUAAUGAAACACUUUUGAUACAAAUGAUGUAAACUUUAUAGCAGAAAUCAAUUUCACCUGCAUGUUUAUAUUUGUGUGUGUUUUCUGUUGUCAAACCCGAACCUCCUCAGGAUCAUUUUUGCUGGAAAACAACUAAAAGAUGUUAUAAAAGCAUCAAUCCAACAAUGAUUUACCCAACGUAAUCAAUUUAAGUUUAAAUUAAAGACAUAUCUCUUUAACAAAGUAUUCACAUAAUUUAUGCUUUUUUGUGCUUAUAUAUUUAUGCUGCAAUAGUUAGCCUGUCCAGAACCAAGCAGAUUUUUAACCACUAUACAGUAUGAAACACACAUUACAUGCGAAUGACACGUAUACGUUAAUAGGAUUAUGUUUCUCUUUCCCUGUCCCAUAAAAUGUUAUAAUAUAAUAUCUAAUAUAUAUUAUAUCCUCUAUUGGCUAUGUCUGGCUCUCUCUCAAGGGUUUCUUUUCCACCUAGGACUUUUUCCACAGGGUUUUUUUCCUAGGUUUUUUUCAACCCCGGGGGAAUCCGCUGACAUUGGCUUAACUUAGAACUCUCUUCUAUACGUUACAUUAGUACUAUGCUCACUAGUACGGUUUAAUCUUAGCCGCUUUACUAAGUUAUCCACCAAUUGUGUUUUCUCCUGCAUUUAUUAAUGUAAAGCGGCUUAGAAACAAUUAAACAAUUGCGAAAAGCGCUAUAUAUAAAAAAAAAAAACUCUUUAUCUUUGGUUAAAGACUGCUUGGUGGAGGUAUGAUGUGUUUUAUGUUUUUCAUUGUUUAGCUAGAAGUGUAAUGGUCGAAAAUGUCACUUUUACAACAAUUAUUCUGCAUGGACACACUUUUGCAUGAUUUUUUUUCAUUAGUGCACUUGUUCUUAUCUUGACAGGCCUACCUAAAGCUAAAGAUGAUGUUUUUCACAGGAGUGAAUCUAUGGAACGAUUAUUCUUGAGACCAUGCUUAAUUAAUGGAUUUUAAAACUAUCCUUACAAUUUUCCCGGAUCCUUGUUUUGUGUUUAAUAAGUUGGUGAUUGUAAAUUUUAUUUAAAUCCUAUUUCAGGUAGCUCUCUUAUUAACUCAUUACUUUUCUGUUCAUAUCCAAGACAAAAUAACAACACAUGUUCAACUGUUUCCUUCACUUGGCAUAUUCGCAAAUUCACAUAAUCAAAUUUUCCAAUAAUAUGAACUGUUUCUAUGCUGUCUGGAUGUGGGAAAGAAAGGUUUGUUUGAAUUGUGUAAAGUUGUUUCAAACUUCAUAUGUUACAAAAUAGAAUAGAAUAGACAUAUUUUAACAGACGCCUAUAAUGAAGUCACUUCACACUCCAGCACAGAUGUUGGCUGUAUGCACUAAAAAGUUGGUAUGCAACCCGACAAUGAAUCCAUAGAAGAAAAAGAAAACGAUGGCUGAAACAAUCCUUUCAUUUUUGUUAAGUUGCACCAGACUCAGAAGGAUGUUCAAGGUUUACAUUAAAACUGAAGAUGGACAAACAGUAACAUUAGAUGUGGCAACUUCAAGAGCAAGAUUUGAGAACACCACCGUAAGAGAGUUAAAAGAAAGAAUUAGCUCUUUAUUUCCUGGAACACCCUAUGAUGACCCGAGGUUUAUAAUUAUAUAUCGGAAGUCAGACCAGAAGCACCCAUGUAUGGGCGUAUGAUAUUGUGCCCAGGAGGAAUUCUGUGGGAGAACCACGGAUAAACAUGGACGUCGAUGAGACUGCAGCGCAGGAGAGCCAGGAGGUGAAGAACGAAGACAUGGAGAAUUUAUAAAGAAAUAUUAAGAGUCAAGAUUGUGAUGUCAACAGAGAUUUUGGAUUUGGCAACUUUACAGAUUGAUGAGUUUGACAUAUUACUGAAGAUUACCAGUUCUCUCUGAUGCUUUAUUCCCACAUCAUAAAACAGGAGGAACACAAUGCACCUUAACAAGUUACUACAAAUAAUUGUAUUUAACUUAGUGUCGUAUAAAUCUCUCCCACAGCCAGACAAUAUAGAACAAUCAUACAAAUCCAACAGAGCCGGAUCAUCUACAGUACAAACAGGAGACUGAUCUGAGAUCUGAUUUCUGAGUUGAGUGAGAUCAGCAGGCUGUUCUUGAGCUCUCGUUCGAUUUUUUACAUUUUAUUUCUAAAGAGAUUAUUAAUUCCUACUGGAAACUUUUUAACACAUUUUACAUUUAGAAAUUUCUAACUAUCUUUGAGAAAGCAAUAAUGUCAGAAAACUAUUAACAAGACAAAGAGAUUUCUGUUUUAGGAACUGCUCUGGAUCAUAGAUGCUGAAUAGUGACACUAACAUUGUUAAAGGAAACUACAUUAAGUUUACAUUUUUUACAGACCUUUUCACACAGUGUUUCAAAACAACCUUAUGAAAUGAUACGAAGACAAUGUUUUUGAAGAUAGUAAUGAAAAAAUGUUUCUAAAACGUCUAGCACAGUGUUAUAUUUUUUCUUCAGAUAUUCAUUUCAAAUUAUAAUCCAUGCACUUAGCCUAUACAUUAGACCAAAUGUUUUCAACAAAGUAUUGUUGAUGUAUUGUAUUGUAUUGUUGUACACAUGUUUACUAUCAUAUAAAAUGCCAAGGACACAUUUACUCCAAAAAGGAGAUUUUUGCACAAAAAAUAUUGCACAAGAGAUGCACCGACUGUACAGGUUUUUAAAACAAAAUUGAAAACACAUUUGUUUUCUUUAGCUUUUAUACCAACUACUUUAUAUUUUUAUUAGUUGCUAUUUUUAGAUAAGUAUUUAUACUGCAUGUUCUUUUAGUAUACGUUUUUAAUGUGUUUUAUAUUUUAAGUAUUAUUGUGUAUUUGUUCUUGUUCUUUGUGGAGCACAUUGGUCAACUUGUGUUGUUUUAAUAGUAAUGAA